rnacentral:misc_RNA from 1 species
UUUGCUGGCAAGAGGCUACGACAGAGGAAAAUCUUUUCCAUGAAGUAAAAUUCGGUGGUGAGCAAUCUGUUCGUGAAGUAUCCACUCAUCGUCGCUUGUGCAUUCAUUCCUCUGUUGUGGAGUUCAUUUCUAAGAAGCCCUCUGGUGAGCAUGUUAGGUCGUUCCUAUGUUUUUCUCCAGAAAAAAUUGACACUCCCCCAACUGUCAGUGCAAACAUAUCAAAA